GCCGGUUUGGCUCAGUGGGUAGAGCAUCAGCCUGCAGACUGAAGGGUCCCGGUUUUGAUUCCGGUCACGGGCA
rnacentral:tRNA from 1 species